rnacentral:lncRNA from 1 species
CUCAAAGUAUGGUUCCCAGACCAGCAGCAUCAGUAGUACUUGGGUCUUGUCAGAAAUGCAGAUUCUCAGGCCCUGCCCCAGACCUACUGAAUUAGGACCUCUGGGCUGGGGCCUAGCCAUCGUGUUUUCACAAGUCCUCCAGGUGAGUCUGACAUGCGCUAUAGCUUGAGAACCACCUGGUUAUGCCAUUCCCUGAGCCUGGGCUGCCCUUGUCAGGCCUUUUCACGCCAUUGUCUUCUCAAACCACCUUUCAAAGUUCAGCUCAAUACCAGUCAUUUCAGGAAGCUCUCCUAGUCCUCUGCACACCUGCGAAGGCCUCUUCGUGGAACCCACAGCCCCUUUGCCAUCCCCCUCCCCAUUCGGGUGAAAGGGCUUCAUUUCUGCUUCUCUUUACAGCACGUGUUUUCUGCUUCAUUUUAGAGAACUGUGAGCAUCUGUUAACUGCCUCCCAGACUGAUUCCACUCUAACACACACACAAACGUUACUCUGGAAACACCUUGGGGAGUAAAGGCCAUGUCUUACUUCACUCACUCUGUCAACAAACAUCUACUCAGGGCUGCUAUAUGUGGCAGGACCUGUGCUAGGCACUGGGGCUUCAGAGAUGAAAGGUACUCCAGAGAAACUCAGAAGGGUCUCCCUCAUGGCAUUGGAAAGUAGGAGGGCGACCUCAGUUCCUUUCCUAGGCCAAGCUGACGUUCACUGAGGUUCCACUCUGAGCCGGGCCCUACGCAGGAUGCAUCAUCACAUUGAUUCUCAGAGUGCCCGUUGAGG